AUGGAUCCGACUUGUGAUCCAUUCAGUAGCUGUACAACCGAGACAAUACAAGAAGCAACAGAGCUCACUAACUUGAAUGCUUUUGACAUCAUUUCUCUUUCUUCUGGGUUUGAUCUCUCUGGCAUGUUUGAGGAUAAGUCCAAGAAAGAGUCAAAAUUCACAUCUACCAACACAGCUGCAACAAUCAUCACAAAGCUUGAAGAUAUUGCAAAGCGCUUGCGGCUAAGACUCAUGAAGAGAGAUGGUGGGUUGUUGAAGAUGCAGAGCUUGCAACCGGGAAGGAAAGGCAUAAUGUCCAUAGAUACCGAGAUAUUUCAGAUUGCACCGAAUUUUCAUCUGGUGGAAAUCAGGAAGACCAGUGGUGAUACUCUCGAGUAUCAGCAGGUUAAACAUGAUAUGAGACCGGCUUUGAAAGACAUUAUUUGGGCUUGGCAAGGUGAGCAGCCCUAG
rnacentral:rRNA from 1 species